rnacentral:lncRNA from 1 species
CCACCCCUGCCCCCCGAGGACAUGACCUUACUCUACCAUCACCUGCCGCGGCCACUAUCCCCAACCGAUUACGGAAAACAGUGAUGCACCCACGUACUACAGCGGUGAACUCGAAAGGAUUCAAGCUAGGAAUCGACAAAGUAAACUACACACAUGGUGCUUAGAUAGAAAACGUAAAAGGGUGUACAGAGUAAAAAAAGGGGGUCGGGAGGUAUCAACUCCCGAUGGAAAAACCUGGAAGUAUGCUUUGAUUCGCCCGAGAUCAAAUACCGCUAGCUCUUGCACACUUCGUCCGGUGUUGCUUUGCUCUUCGCGUCCAA